rnacentral:misc_RNA from 1 species
GCUCACAGACCAUGCAGGCAAAUUAUAUGACUUGCCAUUGAAAGUAACAGUGGCAUCUUUCGCCGGGUCUAUAUUAGCCAGAAAUGCUGCACACACUGAUCCAGUCUUGUAUACAUGUGCCUCCAAAUUUGAGCCAAGAGAAUUGUACGAUGGAUCUGUUGCUACCAUUGCGCUUUCACAAAGCUUAAGGGCCAUGUGUAAAUCUUUUAGGUGGCCAUACUUUGGCUGCCUCACUACCCCAUACUCAUCGAUGGGUGCAUCAUAAUCAUAACUUGUGGAAAUGAAUGGCCCCCCUGAACUGCGACCAAAGUUUGUCCCACCGUGAUACAUGUAGUAGUUCUGGAAUGUACCGCCACGCUGGUAAAAUCGAGCCACAGCAAAUGCAAGAUCUUCAACCGGUCU